rnacentral:rRNA from 1 species
GGGCCCGCACAAGCGGAGGAACAUGUGGUUUAAUUCGAUGAUACGCGAGGAACCUUACCAAGACUUAAAUGUAGAUUGACAGAUUGUGAAAACAGUUUUUCUUCGGACAAUUUACAAGGUGCUGCAUGGUUGUCGUCAGCUCGUGCCGUGAGGUGUCGGGUUAAGUCCCAUAACGAGCGCAACCCCUAUUUUAGUUACCAGCGAGUAAUGUCGGGAACUCUAGAAAGACUGCCUGUGUAAACAGUGAGGAAGGUGGGGAUGACGUCAAAUCAUCACGGCCCUUAUGUCUUGGGCUACACACGUGUUACAAUGGUUACUACAGUGGGUUGCCAUCUGGCAACAGAGAGCAAAUCCAUAAAGGUAAUCCCAGUUCGGAUCGGAGUCUGCAACUCGACUCUGUGAAGUUGGAUUCGCUAGUAA